CAGUCGCCACGGUAAUACGUAGGUGGCAAGCGUUGCCCGGAAUUAUUGGGCGUAAAGGGCUCGCAGGCGGUUUCUUAAGUCUGAUGUGAAAGCCCCCGGCUCAACCAGGGAGGGUCAUUGGAAACUGGGAAACUUGAAUGCAGAAGAGGAGAGUGGAAUUCCACGUGUAGCGGUGAAAUGCGUAGAGAUGUGGAGGAACACCAGUGGCGAAGGCGACUCUCUGGUCUGUAACUGACGCUGAGGAGCGAAAGCGUGGGGAGCGAACAGGAUUAGAUACCCCAGUAGUCCCUGUCUCUUAUAC
rnacentral:rRNA from 1 species